rnacentral:lncRNA from 1 species
UCCCUCCCUGGCUGUGGCCACUCCUGUGCUGGCACACUGAGAGGGGAAGCUGCUCUCUCCUUGGUCAUAGUUACAUGCUCUCACUGACGCACAUGCAAACAGUUGUGUGCCACAUGCCACAGGGACACAUGUUCAAGCACAUGAGCUCACAGUACUGUCUGCUAUUCAAAUAUACUCACAUAUAUCAGUCAAGUCAGCAAUGAGGUAAGGGCUGUGUGAGGCCCUGGGAGGCAGGGUAGGCGGAGACAGUGGGGACAAGGAUUCUACUGUGCUUCCUGGUUUCACAGUGUGUCUGUGGUAGGGGUUGGGGGUUCCUGUCUGGAUGGCAGUUAAUAGGAUCCCCAUAUUUCUGGCCUCCACCACACCCUCCCUUGCAGGAAGAUGGGCCAGCAGCCUGGCUGAAUUGUUCCUUGCCCUCUACAGGGAGGUGUCCCAAGCCCCUGAAGAACCGUGAUGUCAUCACCCUCCGCUCCUGGCUCCCCAUGGGCGCUGAUUACAUCAUUAUGAACUACUCAGUGAAACACCCUAAAUACCCACCUCGGAAAGACUUGGUCCGAGCUGUGUCCAUCCAGACGGGCUACCUCAUCCAGAGCACGGGGCCCAAGAGCUGUGUCAUCACCUACCUGGCCCAA